ensembl:lncRNA
GUAACCAGUAUAAUGUACAUGGUAUCAUCACUACCAUGUAACCAAUAUAAUCUACAUGGUAUCAUCACUAUAACAGUGUAACCAGUCAUGUUAUCAUCACUAUACCAGUGUCACCAGUAUAAUGUACGUGUUAUCACUAUACCAGUGUAACCAGUAUAAUGUACAUGUUAUCACUAUACCAGUGUAACCAGUAAAAUCUACAUGGUAUCAUCACUAUACCAGUGUAACCAGUCAUGUUAUCAUCACUAUACCAGUGUAACCAGUCAUGUUAUCAUCACUAUACCAGUCUAAUGAACAUGUCAUUAUCACUAAACCAGUGUUACCAGUGUAAUGUACAUGUUAUCGUCACUAUACCAGUCUAAUGUUAUCAUGACUAUACCAGUCUAAUGUUAUCAUGACUAUACCAGUCUAAUGUUAUCAUCACUAUACCAGUCUAACCCCAACAUGUUAUAAUCACUAUACCAGUCUAACCCCAACAUGUUAUCACUACAGUGGCAGUCUAUAACAUAACAGUUCGAUCUACAUGUUAUCAUCACUAGUAGUUGUUUAUUUCUAACAUGUUCUCUCUCCCCCCCUCAGAGCCAGCAGACCCCCUGGCCGGGGACACGGUGCCAACCCCGCUCCAGUGCCCCCCCCGCAGUGAGACGGAGGACUGGAGAGCCAAUGACUGACCACUCCAGCCUGCAUCGUCUCGUCAGGAAACCAAACUGACCAAGAAAAGUAAUUUGGACAUUUCCCAGCCUUUCUUUGACAGGACAAUUGAAGCGACGAAAGCUUUUGUUUUUUGCGGGCGCAUCCCUCCUACUUGAACUACCUGUUGAGAGCGAACCCCUUCGAUUGAGUAUUGACAUGAAGAUGCCAAUGAAGAACAUUUAUUUUUUUCUAGACAAACGGAAGAAAAAAAAACAUGUCCCUGUAUGCACCAUAAGGAAACGAAAAAACAUUCAAAACGCGGUCAACCGGGAAACCACACGAAAGAUCCUCCUUUUUGGUUUUUAAGUAUUUUAACCAGCUGUACGUUCAUGACCUUCAAGACUCUCCCCAGCCUGGGAAGUGGUGUUUCCCCGCUCUGUCCAGUACUCACCGUCCCGGUCGGUCAAUGAAGGGAAAAAAAUUGCACUUUUUAGAGUAUGUUUCCUCUGGCCUGUUAGAACAUGGCGCGUUAUUGGGGUCAUAACAUGAGCACUUAGUGUCCCCUCGUUGUCCGUUUUUAUUCAUUUUCAGAGGUAGUUUUGAAAGCUAAUUUGGACAUUCAGUAUAACUAAUGAACCAGAGGGCCUCCUAGGACUCCCUCUGCAUUGGCCUCUCAGCAAGGGCCCCUCCACAUGAGCCCCUCAGACGGGGCCCCCAAGAAGGGGUCUCAGCAGGGGGCCCACAGGAGCGACACGAGGGAACAGUUUGGUCCUAUCAUUAGUUUGGAACCAUCGUAGUUUCUUGAAAGACAAAGUGCGAUAAAUUAGACUCUGUUACAAUGCCGUUACAAUUUGUGCUCGGAAAACAAACAUCACGUCCUUAAGUUGGAUGGUGGAAAUGGAAAGUUGGAAAAUAUAUAUCGAUGACGUGAGAUAGACCUUUUUUUUUUUUUUUCUUAUUGUGAUUUUAUUUUGGCGUCCUUUUGUAGCAAGGUCCGUCCUAGCCUAGAUGUCUCCAUCUGCGGUGAGCAGUGUGAUGUUCCUUAUGUUCUGCUUCAGGAGGUCGGAGGAGUCACUAGCCACAGAGUUCACUUCUCUAAAUGGUCCAAAAAAAAAUAAGAAUCAACAAAUCUAUUGACAUACUUUUUCAGGAUUUGGGUCCGGGGUUUGGUCGCUCAACCCAAAUCUUUUUUUAAUGAUGACUUUAAUCUCCAUUUCUCUGUACAUCAUGUUGUAGUUUACAUGCUUGGGGAAACAAGUUGAUUUGAAGUGUGCGGAAUUUGGUGUUACAGACUGAAGGAAGGGUGACGCUGUGAACUGAGGGAUAUCGCACCUUAAAACAGCUCGAUAGGAGACCGCCGUCCGUACUAUGACAACAGAAUCCUCACUUUUUAUCCAAUUUUUAUAUUUUUUAUUGUUGGUUUUCCAUUUCGUUUUUUUGAUGUCUACAUUACGAGCGUGUAUUAAUAUUAUCUUUGUAGCCUAUAUCUACUCUUUCCAGUAUCAUGUGUGUUGGACGUCUGCGCGUGUGUUUCUGAAUGCAUGCCCUGGAGAAUCCCUUAUCAAGUACUUUCAGUUUACUUCUCAGUGCAGACAUUUGUUUAUCGGUGGACAAAGGAUGAAGAAUAACUUGAAUGUUGUCCAAAACAAACAAACAUCACCCACACACAUACACACUUCCUCUGCAUACGACAUCAUUGACCUAUAAUCAGAUACCUAACAGCAUGUCCGCUAGCCAGUGUUAGAGAACUCAUCGGAGGCAUCGAUGGACUUCUUGUCUGUGUUAUUACUACAGUGUGUGCAUUUUGUGAUAUAAAAUAAGUGCGUGUCCGUUCAGUUUCUGUAUGUUUUUCACACUGCUUGAGAGGAGCAGCAAUUGAAUUAUUAUACAGUAGAAAUCAACCUUUCCUCAGUAAAUCAUUACCUUCGUAGUAUUGACAGUUCCCUCCGGCAGUUUGUAUUGGACGGAAAAACGAGAUGUUGAGGUUUUCUUUAUGAAAUAUUGGGAAGAAAAUAAAAGAUGUGACGAGGAAAAUGUUUUUGUGUCAUUAAUAGUCAACGAUGUCUAACCUUAAUACAUACUCAUUUGAUCAACGAUGGUCUUACAUACCUUGAUACGUUCUCAUUUAUAGUCAACGAUGGUCUUACACACCUUGAUACGUUCUCAUUUAUAGUCAAACGCAUACCUUGAUACGUUCUCAUUUAUAGUCAACGAUGGUCUUACAUACCUUGAUACGUUCUCAUUUAUAGUAAACAUUG